CGGUAACAGAUCCAGCUUGCUGGAUGCUGACGAGCGGCGGACGGGUGAGUAAUGCAUAGGAAUCUGCCCGGUAGUGGGGGAUAACCUGGGGAAACCCAGGCUAAUACCGCAUACGUCCUACGGGAGAAAGGGGGCUUCGGCUCCCGCUAUCGGAUGAGCCUAUGUCGGAUUAGCUAGUUGGUGAGGUAACGGCUCACCAAGGCCACGAUCCGUAGCUGGUCUGAGAGGAUGAUCAGCCACAUCGGGACUGAGACACGGCCCGAACUCCUACGGGAGGCAGCAGUGGGGAAUAUUGGACAAUGGGGGGAACCCUGAUCCAGCCAUGCCGCGUGUGUGAAGAAGGCCCUCGGGUUGUAAAGCACUUUCAGCGAGGAAGAACGCCUAGCGGUUAAUACCCGCUAGGAAAGACAUCACUCGCAGAAGAAGCACCGGCUAACUCCGUGCCAGCAGCCGCGGUAAUACGGAGGGUGCAAGCGUUAAUCGGAAUUACUGGGCGUAAAGCGCGCGUAGGUGGCUUGAUAAGCCGGUUGUGAAAGCCCCGGGCUCAACCUGGGAACGGCAUCCGGAACUGUCAAGCUAGAGUGCAGGAGAGGAAGGUAGAAUUCCCGGUGUAGCGGUGAAAUGCGUAGAGAUCGGGAGGAAUACCAGUGGCGAAGGCGGCCUUCUGGACUGACACUGACACUGAGGUGCGAAAGCGUGGGUAGCAAACAGGAUUAGAUACCCUGGUAGUCCACGCCGUAAACGAUGUCGACCAGCCGUUGGGUGCCUAGCGCACUUUGUGGCGAAGUUAACGCGAUAAG
rnacentral:rRNA from 1 species